GACGUAGGUGACAAGCGUUAUCCGGAAUUACUGGGCGUAAAGCGCACGCAGGCGGCGCAUUAAGUCUGACGUGAAAUCUCCUGGCUUAACUGGGAGGGGUCGUUGGAGACUGAUGUGCUUGAGGCGAUGAGAGGGGUGUAGAAUUCCCGGUGUAGUGGUGGAAUGCGUAGAUAUCGGGAGGAAUACCAGUGGCGAAAGCGACACCCUGGCAUUAGCCUGACGCUCAUGUGCGAAGGCGUGGGGAGCGAACGGG
rnacentral:rRNA from 1 species